rnacentral:tRNA from 1 species
AGGCUUGUAGCUCAGGUGGUUAGAGCGCACCACUGRUAAGGGUGAGGUCGGUGGUUCAAGUCCACUCAGGCCUACCA